AUGAUGAAGAUGAAGAGAGUGAAGGAGAUUCUUGCAGAGAAAAGGUUUGGAGCAAGACUCCUGGAACUUAUCCCUGGUGUAUUAUUGAAGCACCAUAUUCAGAAAAGUAUGGCAGCAUGUAUUGGUGUAAGUCAUGGCAAUAUUUUGGGGCUGAAUCAAAGAUGUGCCAUGGAAUCUUGGAGUUUUGACUUUAGAUUUAGACAAUCUGAUUGGUUUUGUGUAUUUCUUAUGAAGAAUUUAUAA